AGUGAACGCUGGCGGUAGGCCUAACACAUGCAAGUCGAACGGCAGCACAGUAAGAUCUUGCUCUUACGGGUGGCGAGUGGCGGACGGGUGAGGAAUACAUCGGAAUCUACUUUUUCGUGGGUGAUAACGUAGGGAAACUGACGCUAAUACCUCAUACGAACUACGGGUGAAAGCAGAGGAGCUUCGGACCUUGCGCGAUUGAAUGAGCCGAUGUCGGAUUAGCUAGUUGGCGGGGUAAAGGCCCACCAAGGCGACGAUCCGUAGCUGGGCUGAGAGGAUGAUCAGCCACACUGGAACUGAGACACGGUCCAGACUCCUACGGGAGGCAGCAGUGGGGAAUAUUGGACAAUGGGCGCAAGCCUGAUCCAGCCAUACCGCGUGGGUGAAGAAGGCCUUCGGGUUGUAAAGCCCUUUUGUUGGGAAAGAAAAGCAGCAGGUUAAAACCCCGCUGUUCUGACGGUACCCAAAGAAUAAGCAACGGCUAACUUCGUG
rnacentral:rRNA from 1 species